CAAGACAGGCGUGAAAUCCCCGGGCUUACUGGGAAUGNGCCUGUGACUGUAUAGCUAGANNGUGUCANNNNNNNUAGAAUUCACGUGUAGCAGUGAAAUGCGUAGAUAUGUGGAGGAAUACCAAUGGCGAAGGCAGCCCCUGGGAUAACACUGACGCUCAUGCACGAAAGCGUGGGGAGCAAACAGGAUUAGAUACCUGGUAGUCCACGCCCUAAACGAUGCUGACUAGUUGUUCGGGAUUUACAUCCUGAGUAACGUAGCUAACGCGUGAAGUCAGCCGCCUGGGGAGUACGGUCGCAAGAUUAAAACUCAAAGGAAUUGACGGGGACCCGCACAAGCGGUGGAUGAUGUGGAUUAAUUCGAUGCAACGCGAAAAACCUUACCUACCCUUGACAUGUCACUAACGAAGUAGAGAUACAUUAGGUGCUCGUAAGAGAAAGUGAACACAGGUGCUGCAUGGCUGUCGUCAGCUCGUGUCGUGAGAUGUUGGGUUAAGUCCCGCAACGAGCGCAACCCUUGUCUUUAGUUGCUACGCAAGAGCACUCUAAAGAGACUGCCGGUGACAAACCGGAGGAAGGUGGGGAUGACGUCAAGUCCUCAUGGCCCUUAUGGGUAGGGCUUCACACGUCAUACAAUGGUGCAUACAGAGGGUUGCCAACCCGCGAGGGGGAGCUAAUCUCAGAAAAUGCAUCGUAGUCCGGAUCGUAGUCUGCAACUCGACUACGUGAAGCUGGAAUCGCUAGUAAUCGCGGAUCAGAAUGUCGCGGUGAAUACGUUCCCGGGUCUUGUACACACCGCCCGUCAUACCAUGGGAGUGGGUUUUGCCAGAAGCCGUUAGCCUAACCGCAAGGAGGGCGACUGCCACGGCAGGGUUCAUGACUGGGGUAAAGUCGUAACAAGGUAACC
rnacentral:rRNA from 1 species